GUUUUUCUUUGAUACUUUCGACUUAGAAGUUUUUCCUCCUUGAGCUCAAUGGAAGCAGUGGCUGAUCAGCACCAAUAAAGAGUUUUGCUCAUUCUCAUCCAGCUCUACUGUUAAGAAGCAAUGGUGAAUCUUACCUGUUGGCAUGACAGUGGUGUGUGAUGACUGUUGGGGAGAAUCCGGGAGCUGCACUGAUCCCAGGGGACAGCUGAGACACUCCAGGCUAUUUUCUUUCCUCUCUUCCUUAGCGACGGCACUCAGAACCCUGGCUAAAGCCCUACCCGCUGAAGAGGCUCCGACAACAGCUGGAGUGUCUCCAGUCCUCUCAGACAAGUUCCUCUGCACCUGCACAGGAAAACAAAUCAGUUCUGAGUGGUUCCAUGGUUUGCUGUUAACAUGCACAGUAAAGGCCUUGUGUGCUAUAAAUGCAGCUGGAUCUAGAUAAAUAGAAAAUCAUCCAAGUCUUGUAAAAGAUCUAGAAAUCUAAUCUUGAUUUAUUUCCCUAUGUAACUUAAUAAGACAUGUUGCAAAAGAGCAAAGUGUUCUGUCCUGACAUUAUACUGUGGUGAAAAAACUGAGUAUUGAAACGUCACCAUUUCAACUAAUGCAUUAACUUUUAUGACAGUUUGUUAUUUACAGUUUGUUACUUCCCUUCAGAAGUUACAUACGAUAUUUACAUGUUUACCAAAAGACAAAACGGUAACAAUUUAAGAGGUAAGUAUACAACAACUCUUUUCUGUUCUGCCACCGAGGUGGUGGAAUGAAUUUCCCCUAGGGGUCCGGACACCUGAGUCACUGGCUAUCUUCAAACGGCGACUGAAGACUUAGUUCUUCAUGAAAUACUUCAACUAGCCCUUUCACCCUCUUGUUGUAUGUGUGUAUUUAAAAAUAAAUACAUUUUAGGUUCAUGGUAUCUUAAGGCUGUAACCUAGUGAACCAGAGUUAAUGUAUUCAAUGUUAGAGACUUAAAAGCACUUUUGUACGUCACUCUGGGUAAGGGUCAUCUGCCAAAUGCUGUAAAUGUAAAUGUGGUGUGUUGCUUUUUCAAAGAUAAGUAAACGGUUGCACCAUGAA